CCCUUAGAUGUUCGGGGCCGCACGCGCGCUACACUGAAUGAAUCAGCGAGUGUAUGUCCUAGGCCGAAAGGUCCGGGUAACCCGUUGAACCUCAUUCGCGAUUGGGAUAGGGACUUGCAAUUGUUUCCCUUGAACGAGGAAUUCCCAGUAAGCGCAAGUCAUCAGCUUGCGUUGAUUACGUCCCUGCCCUUUGUACACACCGCCCGUCGCUACUACCGAUUGAGUGAUCCGGUGAAUACUUCGGAGUGUGAACUCUACAGUUUCUGUUUUGUUCGCGCAAAGUUGAAUAAACCUUAUCACUUAGAGGAAGGAGAAGUCGUAACA
rnacentral:rRNA from 1 species